UGAAAAGAAAAGGGCUGUUUGCUAACAAUUUCCCAUUACAAUAGGAAUUCUAAAAAAUGAAAAUGGGGCUCCAGAAGAUGAAGAGAAUUUUGAAGAAGCUAUUAAAAAUGUGAACACAGCACUAAAUACAACUCAGAUCCCAAGCAGUAUUGAAGAUAUAUUUAAUGAUGAUCGCUGCAUAAAUAUCACCAAACAGACUCCAUCAUUUUGGAUUUUAGCUCGUGCCUUAAAGGAAUUUGUGGCCAAAGAGGGUCAAGGAAAUUUACCUGUUCGAGGCACAAUUCCUGAUAUGAUUGCAGAUUCAGGCAAAUAUAUAAAACUGCAAAACGUGUAUGUCACUGUUUUCAAACUAUGUAAUAGAAAAAGUCUGAUUAUAUUAGAGAUAAACAUUUUAUCAUCCUGUCAGAAAUCAAAUGAAAGUUUAUUACAACCUCAUUGCUUAUAAAUAAACUAGGCCAGCUGCAGUGGCUCAUGCCUGUAAUCCCAACACUUUGGGAGGCCAAGGUGGGAGAAUUGCUUGAGUCCAGGAGUUUGAGACCAUCGUGGGCAACAUAGUGAGACUUCCAUCUCUACAAAUUGAAAAAUUAGGUGGGCAUGGUAGUGUUCGCCUUUAAUCUCAACUACUCAGGAGGCUGAGGCAGAAGGAUCUCUUGAGCUCAGGAGUUUGAGGCUGCAGUGAGCCAUGAUCAUGCCACUUCACUUCAGCCUGGGUGACAGAGCAAGACCCUGUUUCAAAUAAAUAAGUAAAAAUAAGCUGAAGAACUU
rnacentral:lncRNA from 10 species